rnacentral:tRNA from 1 species
GAGGAUAUAGCUCAGUGGUUCAGCGCGAGCUUAGUAUACAUGAGGUCCUGGGUUCAAUCCCCAGUACCUCCA